GACGAACGCUGGCGGCGUGCUUAACACAUGCAAGUCGAGCGGAGCGGCGGACGGGUGAGUAACGCGUGAGUAACUUCCCCCCUCUCUGGGAUAACAGUUGGAAACGGCUGCUAAUACCGGAUAGUGGGGGCUGACUCGCGUCCUAUCAGCUGGUUGGUGGGGUAGUGGCCUACCAAGGGGACGACGGGUAGCCGGCCUGAGGGGGCGACCGGCCACAUUGGGCUGAGAUACGGACCAAACUCCUACUGGAGGCAGCUGUGGGGAUUAUUGCAGAAUGGGGGAAACCCUGAUGCAGCAGCGCCGCGUGCGGGAUGACGGCCUUCGGGUUGUAAACCGCUUUCAGCCAUGACGCGGUAGUGGCAGAAGAAGCACCGGCUAACUACGUGCCAGCCGCCGCGGUAAUUC
rnacentral:rRNA from 1 species